CCCACAUGAUACAGGAAGAGUUAGCUCUCCAUGCGUUCCUGCAAGGACUCGCCCCCGAACGGCUCCGCCAACAUGUUCGCCUGGCGACGCCUCAGACACUGGAGGAGGCGCUCCGGGAGGCAGAGCGUGUUGAAGACGUCAUCUCCACAGCACGGGCGGCACCAAGCAUUCAACCCUGCGUCAGGAUGGCUGACUAUGACAUUGAGGAGGUACGCCAAGCCCAGUCACCCACCCCGCAAUUUCAGCAGCGACGUUCAUCGACCAGACAGCGCCCACGCCGCUCAUCUGACCGCUGCUAUCGGUGUGAUGAGCCUGGGCACGUCGCAUGCGACUGCCCCGCCCCCGCACCGAGAGUCAAAACAACCCCGCUGGAGGGAAACAACAGCGGGAUGGCCCGAUGAGGGGGUCGCCAUCCCAGCCCACUAUACCCCUCCAAGGCCGUUGCACGCUGGUGGGACAUUUUGGUCAUACCAAGGGACUAUAUUUGACCUGCCAGCUUGAUGAUCAGAGCUGUCAGGCGCUCAUAGACACGGGGUCUACCAUCUCCCUGGUGCGACCGGGCGUUUUAAUGGGCACCAGCGGACCACUGACAAAUGCAUGGACCCCCACCCAGACCCAGCUGAUGACGGUGACGGGAGAAAAGACGGGGCUCACGACGAGGAAGCUGCUUCGGGUCCGGGUUGGUGGUCAGGAGGUGGUGCACGAGUUUUGGCUGGCUGACAUUAAGGAGCCGUGCAUCAUCGGCCUGGACUUACUGUCACACUGGGGAGCCUGCAUCAACGCCACCAAAGCAAGCAUCACACUGGGGGGCGUGACCAUCGGGCUGCAACGUGGAAGGAAGGCGGGCAUAACCAAGAGAAUUAACGCAGUCAGCAGUUCCACGCAAAACACCUGUAAAGCACCAGUGAGGAUCCCCUCCACCAGCAACUCCCCCUCCGCGGAAUCAACGAGAGCGGUGCAGGAGCUUUUACAACGCAGCUGCAAUGGAUUAAAUCCCCGACAAAAGCAAGAUUUGGAGGGCUUCCUAAAAGACUUUGUGGACAUUUUCGCUGCCAAGGAUGAGGACUGUACACAGACGGGGUUGGUCCAGCACCACAUUGACACAGGUUCAGCCCCGCCUGUUCGCUUACGUCAUCACAGAUUGGCGUUCGCCAAGCGACAGGCAGCAGCAGACAUGAUCCGUCAGAUGGCAGAUGAUGGAGUGAUUGAGCCGUCUGACAGCCCGUGGGCAGCACCAGCGUGCUGGUUAAAAAGAAAAAUGGGAACUGGCGAUUUUGUGUGGAUUAUCGACGUCUUAAUAGUGUCACUAAGAAAGACUCUUAUCCCCUCCCCCGGAUCGAUGACGCACUGGAUUGGAUUGCUGGUUCCAGUUGGUUCAGCUCUCUCGACCUGCGGAGUGGUUACUGGCAGGUGGAGUUGUGGUCAGGGACUGUGGCAGUUUCGGGUGAUGCCGUUUGGGCUCUGCAACGCACCAGCAACGUUCGAGCGGCUGAUGGAGCGGGUGGGAGUGGAUAUCCUCGGCCCGUUGUUUCCCGUGACUGACGCUCGGCACCGCUAUGUUCUCGUGGCCAUGGAUUAUUUCACUAAGUGGCCGGAGGCAUAUGCGGUGCCGGAUCAGAGUGCCAUCACCACCGCAGAGAAGCUGGUUGAGGAGAUGUUCACUCGUUUCGGAGUCCCGGCGGAGCUCCACAGCGAUCAGGGCCGAAACUUCGAAUCCCAGGUCUUUAACGAGGUCUGUCAGCGGCUCGGGGUACACAAGACCAGAACCACACCUCUUCACCCCCAAAGUGACG
rnacentral:lncRNA from 1 species